rnacentral:rRNA from 1 species
CAAUAGCGUAUAUUAAAGUUGUUGCGGUUAAAAAGCUCGUAGUUGGAUUUCUGCUGAGGACGAUCGGUCCGCCCACUGGGUGAGUAUCUGGCUCGGCCUUGGCAUCUUCUUGGAGAACGUUGCUGCACUUGACUGUGUGGUGCGGUAUCCAGGACUUUUACUUUGAGGAAAUUAGAGUGUUUCAAGCAGGCGCACGCCUUGAAUACAUUAGCAUGGAAUAAUAAGAUAGGACCUUAGUUCUAUUUUGUUGGUUUCUAGAGCUGAGGUAAUGAUUAAUAGGGAUAGUUGGGGGCAUUCGUAUUUAACUGUCAGAGGUGAAACUCUUGGAUUUGUUAAAGACGGACUACUGCGAAAGCAUUUGCCAAGGAUGUUUUCAUUGA